CUGCCGUGAUGGGAACAUUUUUCGUCAACAGCAUCUCACCGAGGCGGUGAAUGGUGACUCCUGUGGGCUGAGCAG
rnacentral:snoRNA from 1 species